GUUUUUAUAGUUUAAAAAAACAUUAAUUUUGUAAAUUAAAAAUGCAUUUUUGCUAAAAAUC
rnacentral:tRNA from 1 species